CCCUUAGAUGUUCUGGGCCGCACACGCGCUACACUGAAGGAGGCAGCGUGUACUCCUGGAUCGAAAGAUUUGGGUAACCCGCGAAUCUCCUUCGUGCUAGGGAUUGAGGUUUGCAAUUAUCCUUCAUGAACGAGGAAUCCCCAGUAAGUGCAAGUCAUAAGCUUGCGCUGACUACGUCCCUGCCCUUUGUACACACCGCCCGUCGCUACUACCGAUUGAAUGAUUUAGUGAGGACUUCGGACUGGGACCGAUGCGGCUUUCGGGCUGCGUCGGUAUUCUGGAAAGAUGUCCAAACUGUAUCAUUUAGAGGAAGUAAAAGUCGUAACA
rnacentral:rRNA from 1 species